CCCAGAAAGUUCUGCUGCCCUAUAGCCAAUCAAAACCAGAUGAAUGCAUAAGGGCAGGAGCACAGAGUAGCAGGGACAGCCCAGACUCUCUCUACUCCCUCCCCUGUGCUGAGUGACCUAGGUGACAGCUGGCUAACAGAGGGGUCUCCCUUUCCAGGAAAGGCCAUCAGACCAGGGUCUCUUCUCUCCUCCUCUUCUUGUUCCUCUCUUCUCCCUCCUCUUUUUGAAGCAGGGUCACAUUUAUACCAGGUUCAAGCAUACUAUGUAGCCAAGGAUGACCUUGAACUUCUGAUCCUUCUGUCUGUCGUUAUAUAACCAGUUCUAUGGUGUGCUUAGGAUCAAACCAAGAGCUUUGUGCAUACUAGGCUAGCAUUCUAACAAACUAUAUCCCCAACUAAACCAGGUUUUAUUGAGCCCCUAAUGGUGGGGUUCCACUCUUCUUCCUCCCCCCAAAAUAGAUAUAUACACAAAAGAGUUGCAUUCACAGAAUGGGCUGGAUUCACAGAAACCACCCAUGUACUCAGCCUGUCUGCUUCCUCCUUGUGUGGCCUGAGUGCCUGUUCCUCCUUACCCUAUGUCAGGGGCCCUAGAACUGAGACAUAGCCUCUUCCUUGCCUUGAGAGCCGGCUACACAAAGCUGCAAAACACUCAGGAGAAAAAGAUUUGUUUCCAAUCUGUGAAGGAGGUCUUGAGGUGUGGUAUCAGAGGUAACAGGUCCAUGUGCACAGUGAGGAUCCACACAAAAGUUCUUACAGGUGAUGAAAGAGAUGGUGUCCAUGACGUUUAGCUAUUGUUAAGCAUUCCCAUAAAUACUCUAUCUUUAUGAAGGUGAGCAUCCUAGACAGAUGUGGCAAGCCAAGUAACAGCCCUCUGAAAAGGUUUAUAACCCGACCCCUGAAACGUGUGGUGCCCAACAUGACAAAAGGGCCAUUUGCAGAUAUGAUUGGGUUAUAAGUCUGGAGACGGGAAGAGCACAGUGGGCCCUUGAAAAAGAAGCCGGAGUGCAAAGUCCAAGUAGGUCGGAAAGACAGGAGGAGUUGACAGCAUUGGGCUCCGGCUUUGAAGGGCUAAGUUGAGGCCAUAGCCAUAGACUUUAGGCAGUCUAAAGAGCUCUCGAUGCAAAGGAAUGGAUUCUCCCUGGAGCCUGCAGAAGAAAUGCAAUUGGGAGCAUGAAUCCUAGACCUCUGACCUCCACCACAGUAAGAUAGGAAGUUUACAUUGUCUUAAACUAUAGAGUUGUAACUUGUUACCACAGCAACCGGAAGCUAGUGCACUUAGACAUUGCCAGGAAGAAACCAGUGCCUGCUGGGCUGAAGCUGCAGCCAGCAGAGCAAAAUCAGAGCCUGUGAUGAGAGAAAAGGGGGUGGGGGGCUGGGUACAGAGUGCUCAGCCUGUGACCUCACCCUUGGCUGCCCUGGCACCCUGACGCCUGUCAGCCCGUGGUUAUAUGCAUGACCGGACCCCAAAGGGAUCCUUGUGUAGUCGAUGCUGUGCCAAAGGUGGGGGUGUGGCGAGUGGGCUGGUGGCCAGGAGAGAGCCCAAUCAACCCCAGGCUGCAGGCAGGAGGCUGGCAGAGGUGGGACACACACUCUCUCUGCUGCACCCCAGAACUCCCUAUUUUCUUGAAUCUGUCACUGAACCCUCUUGGCUUUCCCUGGGAGAGUGUGAAAGGGACUUUGGGGUUGGAGAAUGGGAAUGAGGUCACAGCCUCAGCUCGGUGGCUGAGCAGCUAGAUGGCCUUGGGCAGAUGACUUUGCUCCUCUGAGUCUGUAUCCUCCUCUAGAAGGGAAGUCAUAUUCUCCACUUCACAGGGUUUUAUAGUGUCAUAAUGCAUGUCCACAGCUCCGGCACAGAGCAAACCCUGCUGGUGCUGCCGCUGUAUCUUUACAUGAUCCUGAAGUGCCCUCCGACACAAAUCAAAGCUGAUCUCUCCUGCUAGGUGCUGAGGUCUUCAAAGGGCUGUGGGCUCCGUCCAUCUCUGCAUCCUCAGCAUUUCUAUACCUACUGAUAGGUAUCUGAAAGAAACUACUGCCGGGCCUUCACAUGCUCCAACUAAUGUCUCGAAAGGGUCAACCAAUUGCUAUGCUUAAAAGGCUCUAGAAGGAGGCACUAGCAGAAGCUGGGAAAAACUAGGUCCAUGGCUGCAAUACAGGUGAGAGGCGGUCAUGGCCUGGGUGGUAGAAGAGACGGGAAUCGACGUGGCCCAAUGGGCUAUAUCAGGAGGGCAGAGCCCAGGGGGCUUGCUAAUGGAUUAAAUAUGCGUGUGUGAGGGGAAAAGAAGGGGGUCUGGGAAGUAUGGUGGAGAACUACACAUGUCAGCAUAACUGAUCCUCGGGGUGCCUAGACAAUUCUGUGAAAAACAUUUCUAGUUGCGUGUGUAGUGGUAUUUCUGGACAAGGUUAACAUUUGGAUCCACAGACAGCCAGGCUGAUGGCUGUGUGAGCAUCAUCUAAUCCCGGAGGAGCCUAAAUGAAGAACAGCACAGAGGCUGAGUAACAAUUCCCUCUCUCAGCCCACUGUCUUCCAGCUAAGACACAGGUCUGCUGCUCAGGGGCUUCAGUCAAAACAGUGAGUGCUUGGGGUCUCCACAUUGCUGGUGGCACCUCGUGCUUUCUUUCAAUCCCUAUAUCAUGGAACCUAAUAUCAUGGUUCCUUACGAUAAUUCUGUCUCUAGGUCUGCCUCCCCAUCUCUGUCUCUCUGGAUAGAAAUCUAGAGGAUGGAUAGGCAGACACUUAGGUACACAGAUCAUUGGUUUUGUUCCUCUAGAAAACUCAGGUAGUGCACGAGGUCAGAAGUUCAGUAUUGGUCAUGUUCAUUGUGAGAUGUAAGGAGGCAGUGAGAUAAGGCCUUGGCUGAGUACAGACCAGAUAACUGAACUGACCUGAAUACACCACAUCUGUCUCUUGGCUCAUUUGAAUGUGGUUUUCUCCUCUGGGCAGUCCUCCAUACCUAACCCUUAGCCUCCUCCAUUCUCUUUUCAACAGCUGUAGUCUCCAGCUUUGGGCUCUUCUUGGAGAGCUGUACUGUUUGAGAAAGGUCACAUAACCAACCCCCUUGAUUGCCUAAGUCCCCUUCCCUCCACUUCUAAGGUUCUUUGAUAUCAGGGAUUCCCACUCACAAUAGCAAAGACCCUGAACAGAGGGCCCCCAUUCAUGCCAACAAGGACAGAACUGGAUUGGGAGAUCCGGUAUCCCGUUCAUCUGUACACAUCCUCUGCUCUGCUUUGCUCUUGGUUUCCCAGCAAACCUCACUGCCAGCUACCGGAACACUGCUUGGAUACUUCACACUACAGCAAGGCAGAAGGGAGCAGCCAUACCCAGGCAGGCCCAGGGUCCGACUAGCUGGCGUCUGGAAGCUACUUUCUUUCUCUGAGUUUCAUUCAUGCCAACCAUGAUAAUGGACUCCAUGCAUCACUGACUCAUGUGAUAGCUGAGGAUAUGACACCCUUGCAGGCACUGUUGGGGAGUAAUAAACAAUCAUAUUAAAGAGGCUUUUCCUCACUCUUCUGGGCUGCCCCAGCUAGCCUCUUUCCUAGAUUAUUCUGCUCUCUGUGCUCUUUCUGUCCUUCAGAAGCCAAAUUUACUAUGGACGUCGGCAACCAGGGAAUGGUUGUCAAGGGCCGGGCUUUUAGCAACGCUGUCUGUUGCCGUGGAAACUUGUCCUCGCUGGGUUCCCUGGGCUCCCAGCAGUCGGUUGGUUUUGGUGCCAUCUGCUGGAUAAAGAGCCACACUGCUUCUGAAGCACCCAGACCUGGGCGUCCUAUCCCGGAGCAGGAACCGCUCCGAUUCCGCGCCAUCACCUCUCCACAGAAAAGUUCUUUACUCCUUUUGCCCUCAGAUUUCUCCCAGGGACAGGAGGCUUGCAACUUGGCCUCUGUGGACUACAGGGAGGGUUGGAAGCCAUGUCCUUCCCUACAGCAAGAGAGGAAGCAGACCCGCGGAGUGGGGUCUGGAGGAAGUCCCUCCCCUUAAUUGAUUUUCUGUAGUGCGGAAUCCGCAGUGCAGACUUGGAUUUUGCUUUUCACUAGCCUGCGUUUGCCAGGAGGGUGCAGCCAGGAUAGAAAUGCUUGUGCUGGAGAUGGGUGACUGACGGUUGGGGUCACAGCAAGGUCCUUAUGCAAACCCCCUUCCUCCCGUCCUUCUCCUUCCAAGCCAUUCAGUCCCUGGUGACCUAGUGGGACUGACUUCCCUUUCAUCUCCCUGGAGAACCUUCUUUUCCCAACAAGACAGUUGCCGGAGCUCAGUUCAUUCUGCCUCACCCCUGACUAAGAGAAAGCAGCAGACACCUGCUGGGAAGACAUGGCUCCCAGGUGAUUCGUGCUGAGGAAGCCCCUACCCUCUCCCCGCCCUGAGAUAAGCCUGUGUGGAAGGUGCAGUGUAAAGUGGGCUAUCUGAGAUUCAGGGUCAAGAGACAGAGAGCCGCUGUGCCUCCGAUGAAGACGCUUCUCUUUCUCAGUCAUUAUCACCAGUAAGGAAACUGAGGUCUGAAGUCGGGGAGAGUCUGGGGUCUGUCUGUCCCAACAAAACACUGUACGCUCCACCCAGAAGCUCCUGCCCACCUCUAGCUGGGCUGGGAGCAAAGGUGGCAGACAGUGGCCCAGAAGCUAAAAGGACAGAACAGAAAAUGGGACCAAGGCACCCCCACCUUCCAUCCUAGCUGAGCUAGAAGAAAGUACACCAGAGAUGGCCAACAUGCUCCUGGCUGAGAUGAAGGCACCGUGGGUCUUCUGCUGCUCCACACGCCCUCUACCGAACAUUGGGCCUCCCAGAGUCCCUGGCACUGCCCCACUCAUCUUUCUAUCCUUGCUGGGGAAAAGGCCAACGGCCAAGGCCAAGUACCUGUAGGUCUACCUGGCCUGCAUUUUCCAUGUCCAUGCUGGGGCCUAGUUCAGAUUGCUCAGGCAUUGGUGUUACUUUGGGGACCGAGGGCACUGGCUGGCUGCCCAGUAGUGACAUAUGGUCUCUCCCUGAAUGGCUGCACCUUCACACCAAUGCUGUUGCCCGCAAAGUGAGGACCUGAGGUGUUACUGCAGCAGUCUGACCUCUGACAAGCCAAACUGUAGGCAGUAAAGUGAUAGGAGCCCUAGGCCAGGUAGCACCAGAGAGUGCCAGAGAGGCACCUGCACCAUGCCAACCAGGCUGGACUUCUGAUGAGCACUGAGCUCUGCUGAUCAGGCCCUGUUCCCAGCUGCUUCUGCACAUCUUCCCAGAGCAUCUGUUCCACUUGAGUAUUGACCACGGUGACUAGAUUUACUGUCUGAGUGAGCAUGUUGUCUGGGUUAUCCCCUAGCCCCUCCCUAGUCUAUUCGAUCACAUGAUCCUUUGGUCAUGAGCCCAUGGGAUAAGUGCUGAGUUAUCUGAAAUUGUUUUUUUCUACCACACAUGCUUUGGAAAGUCUCAGAAAUCAUGCUCUUGGAAGCAGUUUCCCUCUACAACAGUGAUUCUCAAAGUCUGCUGAGUAUCAGAAGUUGGGGGCACAAUGUCUCACUCAGUGAUCCUGAGCUUCUGGGGUCUUUAUUGGCUCCCUGUAAUAAUCUGAAACAUACUCACUGUGAUGUUUAGUCUAUUUGCCCACCUGAAGAGAUCUGGAAUCACUCGGGAGAUGGGCCUCUGGGUAUGUCUAUGGUGGAUCAUCUUAAGUUAA